AUUGAACGCUGGCGGCAGGCCUAACACAUGCAAGUCGAAUGGUAACAGGAAACAGCUUGCUGUUUCGCUGACGAGUGGCGGACGGGUGAGUAAUGUCUGGGAAACUGCCUGAUGGAGGGGGAUAACUACUGGAAACGGUAGCUAAUACCGCAUAACGUCGCAAGACCAAAGAGGGGGACCUUCGGGCCUCUUGCCAUCAGAUGUGCCCAGAUGGGAUUAGCUAGUAGGUGGGGUAACGGCUCACCUAGGCGACGAUCCCUAGCUGGUCUGAGAGGAUGACCAGCCACACUGGAACUGAGACACGGUCCAGACUCCUACGGGAGGCAGCAGUGGGGAAUAUUGCACAAUGGGCGCAAGCCUGAUGCAGCCAUGCCGCGUGUAUGAAGAAGGCCUUCGGGUUGUAAAGUACUUUCAGCGGGGAGGAAGGGAGUAAAGUUAAUACCUCUGCUCAUUGACGUUACCCGCAGAAGAAGCACCGGCUAACUCCGUG
rnacentral:rRNA from 1 species